UGGGGGGCCUAUAAAAGCCUAGUUUUAGAGAAAAAAAAUCAUUUGCCUAGUUAUUUCAAAAAAAAAAAGGUUAAAAGUUCUCUCCCCCACCCUUCUUUCAGCCCAGACUCCGGCCUAAUCGUCCGGCCAAUCGCCGCCGUGCCGGUCGCCGUUCUCCGGCGUCUGCGCCGCCGUGAGCGGCGGUCGGAAGGUGAAAGGUUGAGUUUUUUAAACCCCGAUUCAAAGGCCGAUUGUAGAUCGGACCUUCAUGGUCCUAAGGCCAAGGGAGAAACUCCGAAAAGUCACCUUCCCCGUCCAUUUUCAGUGACCCGAUGGACUCUGGCGACACCCCAAACACGGCGUUCAGCGUUUGAUGAUGGGCUACAAAGGCAGAGAGUAGGGGCGGAUGUGACACGACAAACGGUAGUGGUAGAUAGGGCCACGGAUACGAGGGUAUGGCGACGGCGCCAGAAAGCCAAAGGUCUGAAGACCAUAGAUGCGGCGCUUAGGGUUUCAGUUCUGAAACCCUAGGCUAACUUUGGUUUUAGAAUUGGGCCUCGUUUUGGGAUUAGGCCGGUUGGGCCUCGUUUUGGGCUCCGGGCUUGGGUUUAAUAGGGUUUUGGGUUAGGUUUUGGACCAGGGUGUCAUUUGGGGCAUUGGGCUAAGUCUUAGGUUGGGUUUGAUUUCGUUUGGAUUUUGCAAUUGGGUAUUAGGCUGGUGGGUUAAUUUUAAGUGGGUUUGGGUUUCUGUUUUAGGAAUUGGGCCUGGGCAAAAUCUGGGUUGUACACAUGCGACGAGUGAGCUUGAGGAGCAGCCAACAAGACUCAGAAAACAAAUGAUUGAUCAACUCACUCCAUUGAAUCCAACAACCGCAUCAUCAGCAGGCUACAGGCUGAGGUGAAAGUCAUCUAGAAAAUCCAGGAUCAUGGACUGCUCCUUCAAAAUGAUUACUUGCACUCAUACCAAAUUAGUAAUUUGGCAAUCUUUUGUACAAAAAAUCAUUUAUAAUGGUUUAUGGUUUUUACAUUGGCUUACA